rnacentral:tRNA from 3 species
GGACUCGUAGCUCAGUUGGUAGAGCGUUGCGUUUACAUCGCAAAUGUCAGAGGUUCGAGCCCUCUCGAGUCCACCG